rnacentral:tRNA from 1 species
UACAAAAGAUAGUUUAAUGAAAAUACUAGUUUUGGGGGCUGGUGACAGGGGUUUAGAACCCUUUCUUUUGA